UGCCUCAAGCUCAACGUAGCAACGAAAAAAAAAAGUAUUGCAAGCAGGUACAGAGCGCGUCCUGACUUAUUUUAAUCUUUGAAUCAUCAUAUGGACUUAUUAGAUUUAUUUUAACUGCGAUCACUGCAAAAAUGACCCAAAGGGAGAGGCCUUGCGGAAAACGAGCUCGUGAGCUCGAGCAAUGAGCUGCGAAGGCAAUCGUCGGCAAAUUUAUGGAAAUAAAAUCUGAUAAAAUCUCACGAUGAGAGGCGAGACUGGCGAGAGAGACUUCGUCGUCGAUUAACACGAUCCAGUAAAGCUUUGCGAACGUGAGCAUCGGAAAGUUCAUAGAAACCUCACGAUGAGAGAGAUUCGUCGUCGGUUAACACAAUCCAGCAGCAUAUUGAGAAUAUGAGCAUCGGCAAGUCAACAAACAAAAACUCACUCCUAAUUGUGGGCUGAUCAUUAAUCGAGCGUUUGGCAAUCCUAUUACGUCGAAUUGAGAGACAAGGGGUAAGGAUUCUCACACUAUAAUGCCUAUACAUAAGGAAGGGGAUGCUGAGGAUUCAUCUCUUAACAUGAAGUAUAAAUCUAUGAAGAUAAGUUAAUUAUACAGCCAUCCUGGAACUCAUAAGGUUACAGAGUAUGAUACUGUACCAAUCAGGCUGAGAAAAAUGACCAGCUACCUUGAAAAUUUCCCAUCUACAUGAUAUCAGAUGGGACUGAUCAAAAUGAAAUUGGAUGGAACAAAUUCCAUGUUUAUGAGAAAGAACCUCUCGAGUCAAAAAACUCGAAUAAAUAUCCUGGAAAUGCAGCAAUCAAGAAGGAAUCAAUUGGAACUUCAAUAUCUAUAGAAUAUCAGCAAAUAGAAUUUUGUGAUAGUCUGAUCAACAUUAAAAUAGUAAAAUCUUCUUUUGUAAUGAGAGGAUAUCGGUACAACUGGGAAAUUAGAUGAUUAAACUGAAAUUCAUAUGAUUAUGUCCAUAGUAGCUUUAGAAACGAUAGAUACACAGAAAUAGAAAUUGGCAUUUAGCAGAAAAUAUCGCGCUUCAUAACUAUAUAUUUAUAUAUUGUGAGAUUUUUUAAUAUCAAUUCUUGCCUUUAAUUCUUGGUAGAAAUCUGAAUCAAUCAUAUUACCUAAUCAUAUUAAAGAAUAUUUUACUGAAGU